rnacentral:rRNA from 1 species
UGGGGAAUAUUGGACAAUGGGCGCAAGCCUGAUCCAGCCAUGCCGCGUGAGUGAUGAAGGCCCUAGGGUUGUAAAGCUCUUUCACCGGUGAAGAUAAUGACGGUAACCGGAGAAGAAGCCCCGGCUAACUUCGUGCCAGCAGCCGCGGUAAUACGAAGGGGGCUAGCGUUGUUCGGAUUUACUGGGCGUAAAGCGCACGUAGGCGGACUUUUAAGUCAGGGGUGAAAUCCCGGGGCUCAACCCCGGAACUGCCUUUGAUACUGGAAGUCUUGAGUAUGGUAGAGGUGAGUGGAAUUCCGGGUGUAGAGGUGAAAUUCGAAGAUAUUCGGAGGAACACCAGUGGCGAAGGCGGCUCACUGGACCAUUACUGACGCUGAGGUGCGAAAGCGGGGGGAGCAAACAGG